AUUGAACGCUGGCGGCAGGCCUAACACAUGCAAGUCGAACGAGUGGCGGACGGGUGAGUAAUGUAUGGGAAACUGCCCGAUGGAGGGGGGUAACUACUGGAAACGGUAGCUAAUACCGCAUACAAUCGGAUGUGCCCAGAUGGGAUUAGCUAGUAGUUGGAGGAACGGGUAACCUAGGCGACGAUCCCUAUCUGGUCUGAGAGGAUGACCAGCCACACGGGAAUUGAGACACGGGCCAGACUCGUACGGGAGGCAGCAGUGGGGAAUAUUGCACAAUGGGCGAAAGCCGAAUGCAGCCAGGCGGCGUGUAUGAAGAAGGCCUUCGGGUUGUAAAGUACUGUCAGCGAGGAGGCGUUACGCGCAGAAGCAGCACCGGCUAACUCCGGGCCAGCAGCCGCGGUAAUUC
rnacentral:rRNA from 1 species